rnacentral:rRNA from 1 species
UUUGGUCAAGCUACUAAGGGUGCACGGUGGAUGCCUUGGCGCAGAGAGGCGAUGAAGGACGCGGCCAGCUGCGAUAAGCCUCGGGGAGCUGCAAACAGGCUUUGAUCCGAGGAUUUCCGAAUGGGAGAACCCGGCGGAGGUCAUGCUCCGCCAUUCCGGAGUGAACACAUAGCUCCGUGAAGGCCAACGGGGGGAAGUGAACCAUCUCAGUACCCCUAGGAAGAGAAAGCAACAUGCGAUUCCGUCAGUAGCGGCGAGCGAACGCGGAACAGCCCAAACCAGGCGGGCGCCAAGCCUGCAAGCGUUGUCCGCCUGGCGUCGUGGGGCAUCGCACGAUCCUGUUGCAGCGGGAUCAGGGAGUAAGAAAUCGGUCGUCUAGUCGAAAGUUCCUGGAACGGACCGCCAUAGAGGGUGACAGCCCCGUAGGCGAAAGGCGAGCGACUCCCGAGCGAUGUUCCCAAGUACCACGGGACACGAGAAACCCUGUGGGAAUUCGGGUGGACCAUCACCCAAGGCUAAAUACUCCUCUGCGACCGAUAGUGAACCAGUACCGUGAGGGAAAGGUGAAAAGUACCCCUGCCUAGGGGAGUGAAAGAGUACCUGAAACCGUGCAUCUACAAGCAGUGGGAGCGCUAUGGCCCGUGUAUGCGGGUCCCGCGCGACCGCGUGCCUUUUGCAUAAUGAGCCGGCUAGUUACCGUCGCUGGCAAGGCGAAGCGUCUUGCAUAGCCGUAGCGAAAGCGAGUCUGAACAGGGCGAUCCAGUCAGCGGUGGUAGACGCGAAACGAGGUGAUCUACCCAUGGCCAGGGUGAAGCUGAGGUAACACUCAGUGGAGGCCCGAACCAAUGUUGGUUGAAAACGGCUUGGAUGAGCCGUGGGUAGGGGUGAAAGGCUAAUCAAACCUCGUUAUAGCUCGUUCUCCUCGAAAUAGCUUUAGGGCUAGCCUCGCGGAUUGCAUCGCGGAGGUAGAGCACUGGAUGGACUAGGGGGCCCAAAAGCUUACCGAAUCCAACCAAACUCCGAAUGCCGUGAAUGUGGACCGCGGGAGUCAGACUACGGGGGAUAAGCUCCGUGGUCGAGAGGGAAACAACCCAGAUCGCCAGCUAAGGUCCCCAAGUGUCAGCUAAGUGGGAAAGGAUGUGGAGACGUCCAGACAGCCAGGAGGUUGGCUUAGAAGCAGCCAUCCUUUAAAGAAAGCGUAACAGCUCACUGGUCAAGUGGCUCCGUGCCGAUAAUUCAACGGGGCUUAAGCUGAUCACCGAAGCUGCGGAUCCGACGGGCCUGCGGGCCCGCCGGGUGGUAGAGGAGCAUUCUGAGGGCGCUGAAGUCGGAUCGUGAGAACCGAUGGAGCGCUCAGAAGAGACCCUGCCGGCACAAGUAGCGACAAAGCAGGUGAGAACCCUGCUCGCCGUAAGUCUAAGGUUUCCUGAGGAAGGCCAAUCCGCUCAGGGUUAGUCGGCCCCUAAGGCGAGGCUGAAAAGCGUAGUCGAUGGGAAACAGGUCAACAUUCCUGUACCGUUCCGCUCUCGUUACGACGAUGGGGUGACGCAGGAGGAUAGACGAGCCUACGAUUGGAAGUGUAGGUUGAAGCGUGUAGGCGGGAGUCGUAGGAAAAUCCGCGGCUCCGUUAACGCUGAGACGUGAUCCCGAGGGCCUCGGCCCGCAAAGUCGUUGAUUCCAUGCUGCCAGGAAAAACCCCUAAGCAGAGUGCGGGGCGACCGUACCGCAAACGGACACACGUAGACGGGGAGAGAAUCCCAAGGCGCUUGAGUGAUCCCCUGUGAAGGAACUCGGCAAAUUGACACCGUAACUUCGGGAGAAGGUGUGCCACCGGCGGUGAUGAGGCUUGCCCUCUGAGCUGCUGGGGGUCGCAGUGAAAUGGCCCAGGCGACUGUUUACUAAAAACACAGGACUCUGCUAAGUCGAACACGACGUAUAGGGUCUGACGCCUGCCCGGUGCCGGAAGGUUAAGAGGAAGUGUUAGCGGACCUUCGGGUUCGCGAAGCUCUGAAUUGAAGCCCCGGUAAACGGCGGCCGUAACUAUAACGGUCCUAAGGUAGCGA